UGAUACAGGUCGAGAGUGAGUCUCCUCUCGUAAAUCAAAGGCUCAAACAAAAAGUAAAUGCGAACAACAUCGUUCCUUUCGCUCGUAAAGCCGCUCCUGUAGCUGCCUAAUAGUCUCUAAUCGACUCGAGCAUUCAUAGUUUGACUCCGUUAAGGACUAUGGAUAAACCCCCAACGGAUGCCACGUUUAACUUUCUCUAGUUAGUUAACCGUCUAAGCUUUAACUAGAGCAUCCCACUGUCCGGGAUAAGUGACAGUCCCCGUUUCGAGGGUAAUCGAAACUAAACCUGUGAAUGA
rnacentral:tmRNA from 1 species